AGAUUGAACGCUGGCGGUAGGCCUAACACAUGCAAGUCGAGCGCGAAAGCACCUUCGGGCGCGAGUAGAGCGGCGGACGGGUGCGUAACGCGUAGGAAUCUGCCUGGUAGUGGGGGAUAACUCGGGGAAACUCGAGCUAAUACCGCAUACGCCCCACGGGGGAAAGCGGGGGACCUUCGGGCCUCGCGCUAUCAGAUGAGCCUGCGUCGGAUUAGUUAGUUGGUAGGGUAAUGGCCUACCAAGGCGACGAUCCGUAGCUGGUCUGAGAGGAUGAUCAGCC
rnacentral:rRNA from 1 species